rnacentral:snRNA from 1 species
GGCAUCAGCGUGCUCCGGG